CCCAAGAGGAGGGACAGAGAAUUGUCUUCUAUCGAAAAAAUAUCUCUGAGGUCUUCAAGAAGCAAAAGGCAUCUGACUACCAGGACUUCGCCUCCAUCCUGACCUCCACUGGGCCACAGGCCCUCAAUGACACGUAUGACCAGCUGGUCGCAUGUUCCCAGUGCAACAUCCUCCUUCCGAGCCCAACCCUACAGAAGCAUGAGAAAAAGUGCCAGCGGGCAGCUUCUCUACAAGCAAUUCAACAGAGCCCACUAUUUUUGGAAAAAGAAGGAGAAUCCGUGCAAAGCUCACCAGAAGGAAAUAGCUGGCAAUGACCUUUCUCAGCGGCUGAACUGUCCCUUUUUGUUCCAGCAGGAUCGGGUUCAGUAAAGUGCCUUGCAAUACCCUGAUCUGCCUUUUUAAGAAUAAAAGAGCUACAGUUCACAACCAAGCAUAAGCACCAUUUGCGAGUUUAUAAUAAAGAGUCUUUGGAAUGCAAAAAGGAUGGAUGAGGAUUGGCGCAGCUGAAUGGCACAUGCAAAAAAAAUGCUGAAUAACAAGCACUGCAGAUCAGGGGCAAAUCUUGUGUUUCUC
rnacentral:lncRNA from 1 species